rnacentral:rRNA from 1 species
AAGAACUACAUGCAGCCACACACUUGUAAUCAUGGGAAUCUUCUUUGGUUUAAUAUACACGUUGAACCAGAAAUUGCAGCUAGGAUGAACUUCUCUUUUUUUUGUCCCAAAUAAAUCCGAAGAAGUGCAACUUUUUCCCUCUGAACAUUUCUGAUUUUUUAUCCAAUAACUCCCCAAAACUUUUCAUCACAUUUGUUCUUUCUAAACUUCAAUUCCAACACAAAACAAAAAGGAGAGAACUUAUUCCCAGCUUUUUCUAAAUUCACUAACAGAAACAUCUUCUUUUUACAUUCAGCAUGGAUAUAAGUCUGCUACAAUAGUUCUGUCUCAAGGGAAAAUUGUAGCACAUAUAUGUGAAAGUUGUUUGAUUACAUUGGCAUGGAAAAUAGGUCUAUUGUAGCAGUUCUUACAAAGAUCAACACAGGCUGUUCGUAAGCAAAUGUUAUAACCUGCAGAACACAUCAUAAGAGAAGGGAUUUUUUCACCCAACAAUCAGUGACACAAAAUGCAUUGCGCAAGUGCCAAUUGGGUAUCAACCAACAGAAGUUCAGAAGUAGCAGGGGCACAAGUCCGGAGGAUCUCAUCUGAGACAUGCAGAUCCAGCCAGUUGGAUGGGGGCGACGGACCUGAGGGGAGGAAAGGGACGCCAGAGCCUGCAACGCGCCCAUGCCCACACGUGCAAGCCAUGAAGGCACAGAAGCACUGGUGCUCGUGGUCGGGGCAGAGCAGGGAGGAGGAGCGCGUCAAGCCUUCCAUUGGUUGCGGGGAAGAAGCAUGGCGGCGAGAUCCGUAGGUUGGCUCCGGUCCAUUGCGGUGAUUGCAGGUCGGGUCAGCUGCUAUGGCGGGGGAAGAAGAAUGGAUGAGCAGAUCUGGUGUCGGCGAUGGUGAAGGCCCGAGGCGGCAACAGCUGGGGGCCAAGGCGGGUGCGUGUGGGUCGGCGGGGAAGGCGGUGCUCUGGCGGUGGUUGGAGGUCGGGUGGGUCGGCGGUGAGGGUGGUG